GCCUCGUUAGCGUAGUUGGAUUAUCGCAUCUGUCUAAUAUAUAGUGCUUUAGAUCAGUCUGAGUAUUAUACAACAGAAGGUCACUGGUUCGAGCCCAGUACGGAGCA
rnacentral:tRNA from 1 species